rnacentral:rRNA from 1 species
AACGAACGCUGGCGGCAUGCCUAACACAUGCAAGUCGAACGAGACCUUCGGGUCUAGUGGCGCACGGGUGCGUAACGCGUGGGAACCUGCCCUUAGGUCCGGAAUAACUCAGAGAAAUUUGAGCUAAUACCGGAUAAUGUCUUCGGACCAAAGAUUUAUCGCCUUUGGAUGGGCCCGCGUAGGAUUAGCUUGUUGGUGGGGUAAUGGCCUACCAAGGCGACGAUCCUUAGCUGGUCUGAGAGGAUGAUCAGCCACACUGGGACUGAGACACGGCCCAGACUCCUACGGGAGGCAGCAGUGGGGAAUAUUGGACAAUGGGCGAAAGCCUGAUCCAGCAAUGCCGCGUGAGUGAUGAAGGCCUUAGGGUUGUAAAGCUCUUUUACCAGGGAUGAUAAUGACAGUACCUGGAGAAUAAGCUCCGGCUAACUCCGUG